AGUGGAGGCACAUGCCUUGGGAGCUAAGUGGCUGCUGCACUUGACCACUAUGAAGACUGGUGUGGGAAGAAUCCUUUUGGAUGCACUUCAGCAGGGACCCCUGAUCCUGGGUCACAGGCCUGUACUGGGCCACACAACAGGAGGAGAAUCUAAUGCCUGAUGAUCUGUCAUUGUCUCCCAUCACCUCCAGAUGGGACCAUCUAGUUGCAGGAAAAGAAGGUCAAGACUCCCACUCAUUCUACAUUAUGUCUUCCUGUGUUGCCCAGGCUGGAGCACAGUGGUUUGAUCUUGGCUCACUGCAGUCUCAACCUCUCAGGCUCAAGCUAUCCUUCUGCCUCAGACUCUGGGGUAGCUGGGACAACAGCCUCAGCCAAGAUGUCUCACCCUACUCUCUAUGAUGCAACAAGAAGCCCCUGGGGAAUGUUUCAGUCCCAGUCUGUACUAUUGUCAUGUGCUCAUCACAGUCUGGUGGAAUUUAAAUGACCUUUUAUCAAGAUGGAUAAACCCAAGUUUCCCAGUGCUGGAAUACAGAAAAUGGAUGGACAAACAGGGUCUUGCUCUGUUGUCCAGGCUGGAGUGGGGUAGUGCUAUCACAGCUGACUGCAUCCUCAACCUCUCAGGCUCAAGCAGUCCUCCCACCUCAGCCUCCCAGGUGGCUGAGACUGUACGUGCUUGCCACAAUGCCCAACUAAUAUUUGGACUUUUCCUAUACAUGGGUUCCAAAGGGCUGACUGCGAAACGAAGUGACCUCAUAAUGACUCAAGCUACCACUUAGUGUUGAUUGUGAUGAAAUGCCAGCUGUGGCAUAUGCCUUGGGAGCUAAGUGGCUGCUGCACUUGACCACUAUGAAGACUGGUGUGGAAGGGUCCUUCUGGAUGUACUUGGGCAGGGUCCCCAACGCCGGAGCCAUGGAACUGUAAGGAUCCACACAGCCGGAGGUGAAUGGUGUUGAAUGAGGGAAGCUUCAUCUGUGUUUACAGCCACUCCCCAUUGCUCACAUUCCCGCCUGAGCUCUGCCUUCUCUCAGAUCAGCAGCAGCAUUAGAUUCUCAUAGGAGCAUGCACCCCAUUGUGAACCAUGCAUGUGAGGGAUCUACGUUGUGCUGUCCCUAUGAGAAUCUAAUGCCUGAUGCUCUGUCACUUUCUCCAAUAUUAUCUUCAAGUGAGCCGCUCCUGGCCCAAUUCCUGUCUCCCGUUGGCCUAUAGAGGCCAAGCCUCUGCCUCAUGAUGGCCUCUGCAGGUCGAGCUCCUCCUCCUGGUUCCAUCUACAGGCCCAACACUUUCCUCAAAUAAACUCUUCUGCCCAGCUCCUGUCCAGCUCACGGCAGCCACUGUAGGCAUGAAAAUUCCUCAAUUCAAGCUCUGUAGGCCCACCUUCUGCCUCCCACUGGCCUGGACAUGCCCAGCUCCGACCUGACAAUGGUCUCUACAGGCCCAGCUCAUCGGGCUCUGAGGGACCUCUCCAGGCCAAGCUCUUACCUCACGGAGGCUUCUCCAGGUCGUUUCUCCCUGUCUUUAGGCAGUGGUGACAGGUCAGCUCCUCCUUCACACUGGCCUCGUUUGGGCAGGUCCUGCCUCUUGCAGCCUCUCAAAGCCCAGCUCCUGCCUCUGAGUGGCUUCUGCACACCCAAAUGUCCUCCAGUCAGCCUGUCCUGCUGAGCUCCUGCGUCCUGGCUGAGCUCCUGCCUCCUGUCGGCCUCUAUAAACCCAGCCUCUGCUGUAUGGUGGUCUCUCCAGGCCCAGCUCUUCCUCCUGGCAGUGUAUACAGGUCCAACUCCUGCUUCCCAAUGGACUCUUUAGGCCAGGCUCAUGCCUUACGGCGGCCUUUCCUGGCCCAGCUUUUGCCUGUUGGCAUACCCUCCAGGCCCACAAUGUACUCAGAUCAGCCACUCCAUUCGCAACUCUUCUUCCUGGCUGUGUCUACAGGCCCAACUGCUGCCUCACAACACCCUCUUUUGGCCCAGCUCCUGCCCAGCACCUGGUGGCCUCUAUAUGCCCCAGACUUCUUAAAGUCAACUUUGCUAGGCCCACCUUUGGCCUCCCAGCGGCUUUGACAGGAGCAGCUCUUGCCUCAUGGCAGCUUCCCAACGCCAGGUUUCUGCCUGCAUUGUGGCAUCCUUGAUGGACCCAACUCUUGCUUUAUGCCGGCCUUCCGACACCAAGUUUCUGCCUGCCUCAUGGCAGUAUCCGAUAGGCCCAGCUCCUGCCUCUAAUGGCCUGGUUAGGCUCAUCUCAUCCCUCAAGGUGGCCACCCCAGAUGAAGCUCCUGCCUCUUGGCAGCCUUUAGAGGCCCAGCUCAUGCAUCUUAUUGCCUCUUGAAGCCCAGCUCAUUCCUCAAAACGGCCUAUCCACGCCCAGCUUUUCCCUUUGGUGGCUUCUCCAGGCCCAGAAAUUCCUCAGUUCGGCUUCGCAAGGCCAGGCUCCUGCCUCCCGGCAGCCUCCGCAGGCCCGGCUCCUGCUUCCCGAUGGCCUAUCUAGACCCGGCUCCUGCCUCGCCGCGGCCCUUGAGGCCCAGCUUUUCCCUUGGGGCGGUCUCUCCAGGCCCAGAACUUCCUCAAGUCGGCCUCCCCCGGCCCAGUGGCUGCCUCCUGGCCUCCUCUCCGGGCCCAGCACUUUCCUCACGGCUGCGCCCUCGGGCCCAGCUCCCGCCUCCAAACAGCCUCCCCAGGCCCAGCUCCCGCCUCCCGGCGACCUUACCCGGCCACGCUCGUGCCGGCCUCCCGGCAGCCUCCAUCAGCCCAGCUCUUGCCUCACGCUGGCCCCUCUGGGCCCAGCUCAUGCCUUGCGGUGGCCUCUCCGGGCCCAGCUCCCGCCCAGCCCGACGGUGCCUCCGGGCCCCUAGCUGCCUUCCUUGACGUCUGUCCCUCUCGGCCCAGCUCCUGCCUCCCGCCGAUGGCCUGUGCAGGCCCAAAGCCUCCCGAAGUCGGCCUCGCCAGGCCCGGCUCCUGCCCGGCGUAGGCCCCUAGGGGCGCGGACUCUGCCCCACACUGGCCCCUGCGGGCCCGGCUCUUGCCUCAGCAUGGCCGCCUCAGGCCCAGCUCCUGCCUGUUGGCGGUCUCUCCAGGCCCGGCUCCUGCCCCUGGGCCUCCUCUCCAGGCCCAGAACUGGUUCCAGUUGGCCUCUCCAGGCCCGGCUCUCCCUCCUGGCCGCGUCCACCGGCCCAGCUCCUGCCUCACAACCACGUUCGACCCAGCUCCUGCCCAGCUCCUGGCAGCCAUUGUAGGCCCCAGGCUUCCUUGCGUUUAGGCCUCCCGGGCCCACCUUCGGCUUGCUGGCGGCCCCGAGAGACCCGGCUCCUGCCUGCCAGCGGCCUCUCCCAGCCCAGCUGCGGCCUCACGUCGGCCUCCCCAGGCCACGUUUCCGCUGGACUAGCGGCAGCCCCGGCAGGCCCGGCUCAAGCCUGACGGGGGCAUCUUGAAGAGGCUCAUCUCGUGCCCAGCCGCGGCCUCCCCAGGCCAGGCUCCUGCCUGCCGGCAGCCUCUGCAGGCCCGGCUCCUGCGGCCCGAUGGCCUCUCUAGGCCCCGCUCGUGCCUCGCCGUGGCCUCUUGAGGCCCAGCUUUUCCCUUGUGGCGGCCUCUCCAGGCCCAGAACUUCCUCAAGUCGGCCUCCCCCGGUCCAGUGGCUGCCUCCCGGCCUCCUCUCUGGGCCCAGCUCUUUGCUCGCGGCUGCGCCCGCGGGCCCAGCUCCCGCCUCCAAACAGCCUCCUUCGACUCGGCUCUUGCCCAGCUCCCGGCGGCCUUCGUAGGCCCGAAGCCUCCUCCGGUCCAGCUCUCCAGGCCCACCUCUUGCCUUGCCUCGCCUCGCAGCGACCUUUCCAGGCCCAGCUCCCGCCUCCCGGCGGCCUUCCACGGCCACGCUCGUGCCGGCCUCCCGGCAGCCUCCACCAGCCUGACUCCUGCCUCACGCUGGCCCCUCUGGGCCCAGCUCAUGCCUUGCGGUGGCCUCUCCGGGCCCAGCUCCCGCCCAGCCCGACGGUGCCUCCGGGCCCCUAGCUGCCUUCCUCGAUGUCUGUCCCUCUCGGCCCAGCUCCUGCCUCCCGCCGAUGGCCUGUGCAGGCCCAAAGCGUCCCAAAGUAGGCCUCGCCAGGCCCACCUCCUGCCCAGCGUAGGCCCCGAGGGGCGCGGCCCCUGCCCCAUACUGGCCUCUUUUGGGCCCUCUCUUACACCAGGCCGUCUCAGGAUUGUCUCUUCACGCCCAUCUUCUGCCUCAUAGUGGUCACUCAAGGCCUUGCUUUUGCUUCAUGAUUGCGUUUUCUGGUUUUGCUCUUGCCUUGUAUUCCCUUCUUCGGGAUACAGCUUUUACGUCUUCCAUGGUGAACCUCAUCAAGGAGACUAAAUCUUCCCUGGUCUGUCAUUUUUUUCACUUCACACCAGAGUGCCUUGGGAAAACCCCAUCUCUUCUUUUAACCUUGAGAGUGGAUUUCUGACGAAUUGAUAAUAAAUUUUUUCUCUGUGGUUUCAGUGAUUUCUGUUUUA
rnacentral:sRNA from 1 species